AGUUUGGUUAUCUUGUUGUCACUAUGCGUCGUCGCUCGUCGUAAAGUUUUUGUUUGUAUUUGCUUCCAUAAGCGGUAUUUCCGCGUUUAUUUUAUGUGUUGUGUUGUAGUUGGUUUACUGUCAUCAAAGAUUUAUUAGGAUUUGAAGUUGCCUUGCUGUAUUGAGAGAGGAACAGAUAAAUGCUACGCAAUCGCUGAGUUUCCAGAUGGUAUUUAACUUGUACCGAAAACUUUGUGGUUUUGUGAUGAUGCCUGUGGCCUAACUAUGUGAAUCAACUAAACAUGAACAAAACAACAGCUGCCUACAGGACAUAGCUCCAUUGGUCUAGAGCUCAUAUUGAAUAUACAACCAAGGCCGCUGCAGGAAUGGUCAUGACUAGAUGGCUUCUACAAAGGAAACUGAGGCACACAAGAUAAGAAACAAAGGAGGGGACCAGUAGCAGCAUCUCCAAAGAAAGCAGUAAUUCAAAUGUGGGGAAAUUGGAGUACAUGUAUUAAUCUAGUUGUUUAUUGUAUAACUAGAAAUUAAAUUCGUUUAAAAAUUGUUUUACUAUUAUAGUCACAGGUAUUUUUAGAAUGCAUUUAAUUUUUUCUUGUUAAUCACACAUAUUUUAAAAUAUGAAAUUAAAAUAUUUCAUAGUAAAUUUUAAAGUGUAUUGUUUGUUUUUUAAAUUUUAUGUCUCAAAUGUUGUUCCACAGGGAUCUGUUCUGGGUCUGCUUUUGUUUAUUAUAUACAUUAACGAUCUGCCUUUCAAUGUUCCAUGUAAGACCACUCUUUAUGCUGAUGACUUUUAAUUCUCUUUAUGAUGAGGUAAAAACACAUAGUGAUAAGGUAAUGGAGGUUGCUUAUUCUUGGUUUAAUUGUAAUAAUCUACAAGUCAAUACUGAUAAAACAGAAUCAAUUUGCUUCACAUUGAAAAAGUUGAACGUAAAAGAAAAUUUUUCUAAACCAGUUAAGUUGCUUGGAGUGGUUUUUGACCAGAAGCUUUCUUGGGAGGCUCACACCAACACAGUAGUUUCAAAACUGUCUAGGGCCUGUUUUCUACUUUGAAAAUUAAAAUCUUGUGUUGGUGGAGAUAUGAUGCUUAUCUCCUACUUUAGUGAAUUUCACUCUCACUUGCUAUAUGCUGCAAUGCUGUGGGGAAAUAGUAAGGGUGCUAGCCAGGUUUUCACAUGGCAAAGAAAGGCAGUGAGAAUUUUGGCCAAUUUAGCUUAUCAGAAUGAUUGUAAGCAAUGUUUUAUUGAUUUUAAUAUAAUGACAGUUCCUUCUAUUUUUAUAUUUCAAAAUUUAAUACAUGUAAAGAAAAACCAAAAUGAAUUUGUUUGUUUUAAUGAGGUCCAUGACUAUUAUACUCGAAGGGCACAGGAUAUUAUUAUACCUUUAUUAUAUACAGAAGACUAUAGCUAGUCAUAGACAUUUCCAAAUUAAGUGUUUUAACAAACUACCACAAGAGUUCAGAAGUUUAGAAUUUCAACCAUAUUCAUGUAAAUUGUCACGUUGGCUUAUAAGUAAGGCCUUUUAUUCACUUGAAUUUUUUACAACAAAUAUUAAUUUACCUUAGAAUAGAUGGAUGUGUGGCAGUUUCUCACUUUCUGAGGAUGAAUUUUUCUGUUUGCACUGACCUGAAUCUAUUAUAGUAUUCUUUCCAUGUUUUAUAUAAGCGCUUCAAUGUGUCUGGAUGGAACAGGCCUUUGGGCAGUGUGGACACAGUCUUACACUUGAUCAUGUUUAGACUAAUUAUACUAUUAUGUAUUUUAAAUUAACAUAAUGUAUAGUAUGUAUGUUUUGUAUAGUGUAAUGUAUUAUACAUUAUUUUUCUUAAUGUUGUCUAUAGCAAUGCAAAAUUGACAAUAAAUGAAAAUGAAAAUUUUAUUUUAUUAUGACUAUACAGGGUGAGUUUUUUAAAGUGAUCCCAUAGCUAACUUUUUAAUUACACGACUUAGCACCACACUUUAAACUUGGAACUUGCCCAAUUU